UACGUAGGGUCCGAGCGUUGUCCGGAAUUACUGGGCGUAAAGAGCUCGUAGGUGGUUUGUCGCGUUGUUCGUGAAAACUCACAGCUUAACUGUGGGCGUGCGGGCGAUACGGGCUGGCUGGAGGCAGGCAGGGGAGAACGGAAUUCCCGGUGUAGCGGUGAAAUUCGUAGAUAUUGGGAAGAACACCGGUGGCGAAGGCGGCGACCUGGUCCGAUACUGACGCUGAGGCGCGAAAGCGUGGGGAGCAAACAGG
rnacentral:rRNA from 1 species